rnacentral:rRNA from 1 species
AUUGCUAGUUACCAUCAUUGAGUUGGGACUCUAGCGAGACUGCCAGUGAUAAACUGGAGGAAGGUGGGGAUGACGUCAAAUCAUCAUGCCCCUUAUGACCUGGGCUACAAACGUGAUACAAUGGCUGAAACAGAGGGAGGCGAAGGGGUGACCUGGAGCGAAACCCAGAAAAACAGUCUCAGUUCGGAUUGAAGUCUGCAACUCGACUUCAUGAAGUCGGAAUCGCUAGUAAUCGCGGAUCAGAACGCCGCGGUGAAUACGUUCUCGGGUUU